AAGGAUCAUUACCAAACAUGGAAUAUCAUAUCCCUUAAACCCACUCUGAGUAUUUGUACCUGUUGCUUCCGUGGGCAGUGAGCUAUAUAUGUUUGCGCCUGCCCAUGCGGUGGACCUACGGGAGAUAUAAAUCAACUUCGCAUUUUGUGACCUCAGUCUGAUCAUGUUUAUUCGUUAUAAACUUUAAAACUUUCAACAACGGAUCUCUUGGUUCUCGCAUCGAUGAAGAACGCAGCGUAGCCAGCAUCGAUGUGGAAGUAAAAGUCGUAACAAG
rnacentral:misc_RNA from 1 species